rnacentral:rRNA from 1 species
UACGUAGGGGGCUAGCGUUGUCCGGAUUUAUUGGGCGUAAAGAGCGUGUAGGCGGCCAGGUAGGUCUGGUGUGAAAACUCGAGGCUUAACCUUGAGAUGUCAUCGGAAACCAUUUGGCUAGAGUCCGGAAGAGGAAAGUGGAAUUCCUGGUGUAGCGGUGAAAUGCGCAGAUAUCAGGAAGAACACCAAUGGCGGAAGCAGCUUUCUGGGACGGUACUGACGCUGAGACGCGAAAGCGUGGGGAGCGAACAGG